rnacentral:rRNA from 1 species
GGGGAAUCUUCCGCAAUGGGCGCAAGCCUGACGGAGCAAUACCGCGUGAGGGAGGAAGGCUUUUGGGUUGUAAACCUCUUUUCUCAAGGAAGAAGAAAGUGACGGUACUUGAGGAAGAAGCAUCGGCUAACUCCGUGCCAGCAGCCGCGGUAAUACGGAGGAUGCAAGCGUUAUCCGGAAUCAUUGGGCGUAAAGCGUCCGUAGGUGGCUAGCCAAGUCUGCUGUCAAAGACUAGAGCUUAACUCUAGAAAGGCGGUGGAAACUGGAGAGCUAGAGACCGGUAGGGGUAGAGGGAAUUCCCAGUGUAGCGGUGAAAUGCGUAGAGAUUGGGAAGAACACCAGUGGCGAAGGCGCUCUACUGGGCCGGAACUGACACUGAGGGACGAAAGCUAGGGGAGCGAAAGGGAUUAGAUACCCCUGUA